GCCGGCUUAGCUCAGUUGGUAGAGCACCUGAUUUGUAAUCAGGGGGUCGCGGGUUCGAUUCCUGCAGCCGGCACCA
rnacentral:tRNA from 9 species